AGCAAGCGAUAGCGCUCGGGCUUUUGCUCGGCGGUCUGACACGCGCCACCAUAAAACUGCACAUCUUUACAUCUAGAACACCGACUGUCUGCUACGAGUGAGCAAGGUGCACAAGCAGGACACUAUGACCACACUUCGUCAUAUCUUGAUCAUUGCUGUGCUGGUGGUGUGUCUGCUGGCCCUGAUCAUGGCAGCGCCAGCCAAGAAGUGCCCCAGCUACUGCAAGAAGGAAUGCCUUAACCCAGUUCUUUGCCCACCACAGUGUCAGCACUGCAUGAUAAAUCUACUGAUCUGAAGAGGCAAUGAGGCACUUUGGGCGCUGAUGGGAGCCAAGAGAUAUAGGCACCCUGCAUAGGCAAGAUGGCGCUGCAACUCUUUAGUUUAUCACACAAGUGUCACUGACACCAGCCGCUGUGGCCACUAUGAAAAUGAGAAUUUUAAAAAGCAAUGACACAGGUUCAUGCUUCAUCACUCGUCUGAGUGCUACACGCCGAACUUUGGUGAUCUUGAAGGUCACGUUUGGGGUUAUUUAUUCCGCUGUGUUCAAGAGCGAUCAUGUCUUAUCAUCGCAACACGGUCAGCGUAGCUCAACAUUGGCCGAUCCCAGGCUGCAGCGCUGUUGUCAACUGGAAAGCUUCAGCGAAGGGUGCCUAUACAUAUAGGCUGUUGCACUGCAAAGGAAGACAGUCAAAAGGUUGCUUCUCAAUAAACUCGAAACAAGUUU